AUUGAACGCUGGCGGCAGGCCUAACACAUGCAAGUCGAGCGGAGCGGCGGACGGGUGCGUAAUGCCUAGGAAUCUGCCUGGUAGUGGGGGAUAACGUCCGGAAACGGGCGCUAAUACCGCAUCCUAUCAGAUGAGCCUAGGUCGGAUUAGCUAGUUGGUGGGGUAAAGGCCUACCAAGGCGACGAUCCGUACCUGGUCUGAGAGGAUGAUCAGUCACACGGGAACUGAGACACGGCCCAGACUCCUACGGGAGGAAGCAGUGGGGAAUCUUCCGCAAUGGACGAAAGUCUGACGGAGCAACGCCGCGUGAGUAAUGACGGCCUUCGGGUUGUAAAGCUCUGUUAAUCGGGACGCAGUACCGGAAGAGAAAGCCACGGCUAACUACGUGCCAGCAGCCGCGGUAAUAC
rnacentral:rRNA from 1 species